GACGGAGGAUGCAAGUGUUAUCCGGAAUCACUGGGCGUAAAGCGUCUGUAGGUGGUUUAAUAAGUCAACUGUUAAAUCUUGAGGCUCAACCUCAAAAUCGCAGUCGAAACUAUUAGGCUAGAGUAUAGUAGGGGUAAAGGGAAUUUCCAGUGAAGCGGUGAAAUGCGUAGAGAUUGGAAAGAACACCGAUGGCGAAGGCACUUUACUGGGCUAUUACUAACACUCAGAGACGAAAGCUAGGGUAGCAAAUGGG
rnacentral:rRNA from 1 species